AAGUCCUGAGCUCUCAGAGAUGAUGUCAAAGGUGGUCUCUGCUGCUGAAGAGCUUCCACUUCUGGUAUCCUGGCUAACCCAUCUCUGCCCGUAGGGAUUGCUCUUGGAAAAAAAGCAGCAGGGGCCAUCCUGAUGGGAGCCAAACGGACAGCAGAGGUUGGGGGAUGCUUUGGAUUUGCCAGCACUUGGCCACGGCUCAACCUAGUCUCAGUUCACAAAUGAUUCAAGCACUGAGCAAGGACUUGUAGGAUGCUCUGGGCUCGUGAAGUGACAUGUGUGCUCCUCGGCUGUCUGAAAACCUCAGUGGCUGUACUGCCACCUUCAGCUGGAGUGACCCUACUGGAGCCGUUAAAUGGAGAAUCUCUAUCUCAGUCUGAUGUGGGUUACGGCUGGAAAGUCUUGGUUGCACUUUCUGUCACUGGUGCAGAAAGAACGUCC